rnacentral:rRNA from 1 species
UUGAACGCUGGCGGCGUGGCUAAAGCAUGCAAGUCGAGCGCACCCGCAAGGGUGAGCGGCGAAAGGGUCAGUAACACGAUCGAACGUGCCCCGAGGUGGGGGAUAGCGGUGGGAAACUGCCGGUAAUACCCCAUGAUCUCUCCGGAGCAAAGGUUUACCGCCUUGGGAUCGGCGAUCGUCCUAUCAGCUUGUUGGCGGGGUAACGGCCCACCAAGGCGAUGACGGGUAGCAGGUGUGAGAGCACGACCUGCGACAUCGGAACUGAGACACUGUCCGGACUCCUACGGGAGGCUGCAGCGACGAAUCUUCCGCAAUGGGCGCAAGCCUGACGGAGCGACGCCGCGUGUGGGAUGAAGCGCCUUCGGCGUGUAAACCACUGUCAGGGGGCAGAACCAAUGAUCGCCCCCAGAGGAAGAGGCGGCUAACCCUGUGCCAGCAGCCGCGGUAAGACAGGGGCCUCGAGCGUUAAUCGGAAUUACUGGGCUUAAAGGGUGCGUAGGCGGGCCUGCAAGUGCUUUGUGAAAUCCCCCCGGCUCAACCGGGGAACUGCGGGGCAUACUGCGGGUCUUGAGGAAGGUAGGCGCCGAGGGAACAGUAGGUGGAGCGGUGAAAUGCGUAGAUAUCUACUGGAACGCCGAUGGUGAAGACGCUCGGCCGGGCCUUUCCUGACGCUGAGGCACGAAAGCGUGGGGAGCAAACAGGAUUAGAUACCCUGGUAGUCCACGCCGUAAACGAUGCACGCUAGAUCGGUGCGGGUUUGACCCCGGAUCGGUCGGAGUAAAAACGAUAAGCGUGCCGCCUGGGGAGUACGGUCGCAAGGCUAAAACUCAAAGAAAUUGACGGGGGCUCACACAAGCGGUGGAGCAUGUUGCUUAAUUCGAGGCAACGCGAAGAACCUUACCUGGGUUUGACAUGGCCGGAUUAACCCCGUGAAAGCGGGGCCACACCCGCAAGGGUGGAACGGCCACAGGUGCUGCAUGGCUGUCGUCAGCUCGUGCUGUGAAGUGUCGGGUUAAGUCCUCUAACGAGCGCAACCCCUAUCGUUAGUUGCUCACGGGUCAAGCCGAGUACUCUAGCGAGACUGCCGGUGUCAAACCGGAGGAAGGCGGGGAUGACGUCAAGUCCUCAUGGCCCUUACAUCCAGGGUUGCAAACGUGCUACAAUGGCGCGCACAAAGCGACGCGAGGCCGCAAGGCGGAGCAAAUCGCAAAAAUCGCGCCCCAGUUCGGAUUGCAGGCUGCAACUCGCCUGCAUGAAGUCGGAAUCGCUAGUAAUCGCGGAUCAGCUACGCCGCGGUGAAUAAGUUCCUGAGCCUUGUACACACCGCCCGUCAAGUCAUGGGAGCCGGUAGCGCCCGAAGUCGCCACAUCACUGUGGUGCCUACGGCAAGAUCGGUGACUGGGACU